rnacentral:lncRNA from 1 species
UUGUGCUCUGAUCUUUUUUUUUUUAAGUAGAAAUGAGGCUGGGGUUGUAGCUCAGUUGUACAGUGCUUACCUAGCAUGUGUGAGGCCCUGGGUUCGAUCCCCAGUACCACAUCAAAAAAUAAAUAAAUAAGUAAAUAAAUGGGAUGGGGUUGUGGCUCAGUGGUAGCGUGCUUGCCUAGCAUGCUUGGCGCACUGGGUUCAAUUCUCAGCACCACAUACAAAUAAAUAAAAAUAAAAGGUCGAUCAACAACUAAAAAAAAAUAUUUAAAAGAAAAACAAAGGUAAACUAAAAAUAUUUUUUUUAAAAAGUACAAAUGAAAUGUGUUUUAGUAACUUAUAUACCAUAAUAGUAAUAUCACUUUGUCAGUAUGAUUGUUGAAGAGUGAUCAUUAUGCUGUAAGUAUAACAAAAAGUAAUGUGGCUUAGUAAACAGUGGACUGAAUGAGUCGUGCAGAGACACAAUGUAAAAUUGCUUACUGGGAUGUUGGGUGUGAGAUAUCCUCUCAUUCUUAGUAAUCUUAGCUAUAUGUUUCAGAUAUUUGUUGCAAAAAAAAAAACUUUGUAUAAGAUAUUUAUAUCUCGUCCACAUGUGUAUGAAUUAGUUUAUACUGCAGUAUUAAGUAUGCAUAAUGUGUUGCUUUAGCCCUCUAUCGUGCAGCUCAUAACAGUUCAUGAGCUCAAAUGUUUUUAAAACUACCCCGAGGACUGGGGUUGUGGCAGAUCGCUUGCCUAGCAUGUGUGGGGCACUGGGUUCGAUUCUCAGCACCACAUAUAAAUAAAUAAAGGUCCAUUGACAACUAAAAAAUUAAAAAAAAAAAAAAAAAACUACCCCUGAACUCAAUUAUUGGGUUGGUUUUACAGUUGAAAUUUUAGGAAGAAAUGGUUGUACUUAAUGAUUUACCUAGUGUUUUAACUGUAAUCUUGAAAACUUUUUUUUUUUUUUUGGUACCAGGAAUUGAAUCCAGGGGCACUUAACCACUGAGCUACAUCCCCAGCCCUUUUUAUUUAUUUAUUUGAGACAGGGUCUCACUAAGUUACUGGGUCUGGCCUCAAACUUUGAAUCCUCCUGACUCAGCCUCUCAGACUGCUGGGAUUACAGGCAUGACCCACUGUGCCCAGCUAAUUCUUCACAAAUUCUAAUAGCCAGAAUUUGUUAUUAACUACUUAAACAAAGGGAAAAAACCCAUCACCAACUUUUGAAAAACAUACCUGACUACAGUAACAUACUCUGAGGGUCAGCAGAAUGACAAUACUUAAUGUUCUGAGCCCCAUUCUUUCAGAACAUGUGACACCUUAGUGUGAUGUGAAUUUACUGCAGUUAAAUCUUCUCUUUUCAACAUCCAUCAAACAAUUUAAAUGUAAUAAUGAUACUUGGAAUUGUAAGAAGAAAAGAGAACUAAUUGCCACAGCAGGUGGAAAUCAGUUAAAUUUGUUGACUUUCCAAGCCAUAACAAGGUUUCAGUCAUGCAUAAUGUGUUGCUUUAGAGCUCUAUCAUGCAGCAACCAAGAAUUGGACACAAAGAUUGAAACUCCCCAGGCUGCUCAGCACAGUGAUUUUUUUUUCCCUGAGCUCUGCCCAGAGGAGUCUGCAGAUACUGAAAUCUGAUGCUUUUUCUGGAAUGACUGCUGGUAUUCUCUCCUGCUGUUAGACUUAAG